rnacentral:rRNA from 1 species
AGAGUUUGAUCCUGGCUCAGAACGAACGCUGGCGGCGUGCCUAACACAUGCAAGUCGAACGCGAAAGUGGCCUUCGGACCGCGAGUAGAGUGGCGCACGGGUGAGUAACGCGUAGAUAAUCUACCCUGGUGUCUGGGAUAACCGGCCGAAAGGCUGACUAAUACCGGAUAUAUGUAUGCCUGCGGGGGCAUACAGGAAAGGUGGCCUCUGACAUAAGCUAUCGCAUUGGGAUGAGUCUGCGUACCAUUAGCUGGUUGGUGGGGUAACGGCCUACCAAGGCGACGAUGGUUAGCGGGUCUGAGAGGAUGAUCCGCCACACUGGCACUGGAACACGGGCCAGACUCCUACGGGAGGCAGCAGUGAGGAAUAUUGCGCAAUGGGGGCAACCCUGACGCAGCGACGCCGCGUGAGUGAGGAAGGCCUUCGGGUCGUAAAGCUCUGUCAGCAGGGAAGAAGUGUAUGGUGGUGAACAGCCGCUGUAUUUGACGGUACCUGCAGAGGAAGCACCGGCUAACUCCGUGCCAGCAGCCGCGGUAAUACGGAGGGUGCGAGCGUUGUUCGGAAUUACUGGGCGUAAAGGGCGCGCAGGCGGCUUUACAAGUCAGAUGUGAAAGUCCAUGGCUUAACUGUGGAAGUGCAUUUGAAACUGUGAGGCUUGAGUACCAGAGGGGAAGGUGGAAUUCCCGGUGUAGAGGUGAAAUUCGUAGAUAUCGGGAGGAAUACCGGUGGCGAAGGCGACUUUCUGGCUGGAUACUGACGCUGAGGCGCGAAAGCGUGGGGGAGCAAACAGGAUUAGAUACCCUGGUAGUC